rnacentral:tRNA from 1 species
UCCCUGGUGGCUCAGAUGGUAAAGCGUCUGCCUGCAAUGCGGGAGACCAGGGUUCGAUUCCUGGGUUGGGAA